rnacentral:rRNA from 1 species
UACGUAGGGGGCAAGCGUUGUCCGGAUUUAUUGGGCGUAAAGAGCGUGUAGGCGGCCAGGGAGGUCCGUUGUGAAAACUCGAGGCUCAACCUCGAGACGCCGAUGGAAACCCCCUGGCUAGAGUCCGGAAGAGGAGAAUGGAAUUCCGUGGUGUAGCGGUGAAAUGCGCAGAUAUCAGGAGGAACACCGGUGGCGAAGGCGGGUCUCUGGGCCAUUACUGACGCUGAGGAGCGAAAGCGUGGGGAGCGAAACAGGA